rnacentral:tRNA from 1 species
GUUAUUAUAGUGUAAUAAACACGCUACUUUUUCACGGUAGAAUUAAAGAAUUUUCUUUUAAAAACA